rnacentral:rRNA from 1 species
CGUGUAGGCGGAUAGAUAAGUCAGAAGUGAAAUCCUAUGGCUCAACCAUAGAACUGCUUUUGAAACUGUUUAUCUAGAGUGUGGGAGAGGUAGAUGGAAUUUCUGGUGUAGGGGUAAAAUCCGUAGAGAUCAGAAGGAAUACCGAUUGCGAAGGCGAUCUACUGGAACAUAACUGACGCUGAGACGCGAAAGCGUGGGGAGCAAACA